rnacentral:rRNA from 1 species
GGUGAACGCUGGCGGCGUGCCUAAUACAUGCAAGUCGAGCGAAGAGGUGAGGUACUUGCUCCGCGGACGUUAGGGGCGGAAGGGUGAGGAACACGUGGAGAACCUACCUAAAAGACUGGGAUAACUUAGGGAAACCGGAGCUAAUACCGGAUAAUAUAUUGAACCGCAUGGUUCAAUAGUGAAAGACGGUUUUGCUGUCACUUCUAGAUGGAUCUGCGCCGCAAUAGCUAGUUGGUAAGGUAACGGCUUACCAAGGCAACGAUGCGUAGCCGGCCUGAGAGGGUGACCGGCCACACGGGAGGUGAGACACGGUCCAGACUCCUAGGGGAGGUCGCAGUAGGGAAACUUCCGCAAUGGGCGAAGGCUUGACGGAGAAACGGCGCGUGAGUGAUGAAGGUGAGCGGAACGUAAAACUGUGUGAAUAGGGAUGAACAAAUGUGUAAGUCACUAUGCACGGCUUUACGGGACCUAAUCUGAUAGCGACGGCUAACUACGUG